AGAGUUUGAUCCUGGCUCAGGAUGAACGCUAGCUACAGGCUUAACACAUGCAAGUCGAGGGGCAGCAUGGUCUUAGCUUGCUAAGGCCGAUGGCGACCGGCGCACGGGUGAGUAACACGUAUCCAACCUGCCGUCUACUCUUGGACAGCCUUCUGAAAGGAAGAUUAAUACAAGAUGGCACCAUGAGUCCGCAUGUUCACAUGAUUAAAGGUAUUCCGGUAGACGAUGGGGAUGCGUUCCAUUAGAUAGUAGGCGGGGUAACGGCCCACCAAGGCGACGAUCAGUAGGGGUUCUGAGAGGAAGGUCCCCCACAUUGGAACUGAGACACGGUCCAAACUCCUACGGGAGGCAGCA
rnacentral:rRNA from 1 species